ACAGGGAUUGCCUCAGUAGCGGCGAGUGAAGCGGCAAAAGCUCAAAUUUGAAAUCUGGCGUCUUUGGCGUCCGAGUUGUAAUUUGAAGAAGGUAUCUUUGGGCCCGGCUCUUGUCUAUGUUCCUUGGAACAGGACGUCACAGAGGGUGAGAAUCCCGUGCGAUGAGAUGACCCGGGUCUGUGUAAAGUUCCUUCGACGAGUCGAGUUGUUUGGGAAUGCAGCUCUAAGUGGGUGGUAAAUUCCAUCUAAAGCUAAAUAUUGGCGAGAGACCGAUAGCGAACAAGUACAGUGAUGGAAAGAUGAAAAGAACUUUGAAAAGAGAGUGAAAAAGUACGUGAAAUUGUUGAAAGGGAAGGGCUUGAGAUCAGACUUGGUAUUUUGCAUGCUGCUCUCUCGGGGGCGGCCGCUGCGGUUUACCGGGCCAGCAUCGGUUUGGAGCGGCAGGAUAAUGGCGGAGGAAUGUGGCACGGCUUCUGCUGUGUGUUAUAGCCUCUGACGAUACUGCCAGCCUAGACCGAGGACUGCGGUUUUUACCUAGGAUGUUGGCAUAAUGAUCUUAAGUCGCCCGUCUUGAAACACGGACCAAGGAGUCUAACGUCUAUGCGAGUGUUUGGGUGUAAAACCCGUACGCGUAAUGAAAGUGAACGAAGGUGGGGGCCCAUUAGGGUGCACCAUCGACCGAUCCUGAUGUGUUCGGAUGGAUUUGAGUAAGAGCAUAGCUGUUGGGACCCGAAAGAUGGUGAACUAUGCCUGAAUAGGGUGAAGCCAGAGGAAACUCUGGUGGAGGCUCGUAGCGGUUCUGACGUGCAAAUCGAUCGUCGAAUUUGGGUAUAGG
rnacentral:rRNA from 1 species